rnacentral:lncRNA from 1 species
GCACAAGACUAUUGGUCACACUUCAAUGGCUACAAGAGUUCAAGACACUCUAUAAAUAGAAGAGGAAGGUUCAACAUUACUUGCACUAGUGCAAAACAUACAAGAAAACACCACAAAAGUGUUUGAAACAUUGAUCUCACAAAGAUUCCAAGAAAUCUUUAAAAGUGUGAAUCAAUAUCUCUCUUAUCUUUUUAAAGAUAAACUUCUCCCUCCAUUCUACUCUUGUCUGAUUUCAAUCAUUCAAACUUUCAAACAAAUUGUAAAGAAAGUCUCAUCUAGCUUAGGGGUACUAAAGUGUUAGUUUGAGCAGAAGGUGUAAAAGUCUAAGUGGGUAACUUAGC